rnacentral:rRNA from 1 species
GGUAUGAGAUGGACCCGCGUCUGAUUAGGUAGUUGGUGAGGUAACGGCCCACCAAACCUACGAUGGAUAGGGGUUCUGAGAGGAAGGUCCCCCACAUUGGUACUGAGACACGGACCAGACUCCUACGGGAGGCAGCAGUGAGGAAUAUUGGUCAAUGGAGGCAACUCUGAACCAGCCAUGCCGCGUGCAGGAUGACGGUCCUAUGGAUUGUAAACUGCUUUUGUACAGGAAGAAACCUCUCUACGUGUAGAGACUUGACGGUACUGUAAGAAUAAGGAUCGGCUAACUCCGUGCCAGCAGCCGCGGUAAUACGGAGGAUCCGAGCGUUAUCCGGAAUUAUUGGGUUUAAAGGGUUCGUAGGCGGCUUUGUAAGUCAGUGGUGAAAUUUCCUAGCUUAACUAGGACACGGCCAUUGAUACUGCAGAGCUUGAAUAAUAUGGAAGUAACUAGAAUAUGUAGUGUAGCGGUGAAAUGCUUAGAUAUUACAUGGAAUACCAAUUGCGAAGGCAGGUUACUACGUAUUUAUUGACGCUGAUGAACGAAAGCGUGGGGAGCGAACAGGAUUAGAUACCCUGGUAGUCCACGCCGUAAACGAUGAGUGCUAAGUGUUGGAGGGUUUC